rnacentral:rRNA from 1 species
AUGCACGCUGGCGGCGUGCCUAAUACAUGCAAGUCGCGCGAACAGACGAGGAGCUUGCUCCUCUGACGUUAGCGGCGGACGGGUGAGUAACACGUGGAUAACCUACCUAUAAGACUGGGAUAACUUCGGGAAACCGGAGCUAAUACCGGAUAAUAUAUUGAACCGCAUGGUUCAAUAGUGAAAGACGGUUUUGCUGUCACUUAUAGAUGGAUCCGCGCCGCAUUAGCUAGUUGGUGAGGUAACGGCUUACCAAGGCGACGAUGCGUAGCCGACCUGAGAGGGUGAUCGGCCACACUGGAACUGAGACACGGUCCAGACUCCUACGGGAGGCAGCAGUAGGGAAUCUUCCGCAAUGGGCGAAAGCCUGACGGAGCAACGCCGCGUGAGUGAUGAAGGUCUUCGGAUCGUAAAACUCUGUUAUUAGGGAAGAACAAAUGUGUAAGUAACUAUGCACGUCUUGACGGUACCUAAUCAGAAAGCCACGGCUAACUACGUG